GGAGAGGUGGGGACCAGAGUCCCUGGCUGGAGACUGGUGACAUUGUCCCUGCCAUUGGUGGCUUUGUGACUCUUAAACCAGACCUGCACAAAGAUCUUGUAUCAGGUAUUUGUUUACUUGUACCCUAGAGCUCUGGUUCCAGGAGAAAGCAGAUGGCCCCCCGGGUGGGGGGGCCCUGGGCAGUAGUAGCUCCUCAGUCCUGUAAAUAAAUCCCUAGGAACAGCGUUCAGGCUGAAGGGUUCGAGCUCUGGGCUGGGCGUACACCAGCGCCAAGAUGCAGACAGGUAAGAAUGCUUAGAAUUCCUGUGCCUGACAUUUCUCAUUCUGUCACAAAGGGGAGUGGGGUACCAAUAGGGAUGGAGCACAGUGCCCUGAAAGAGUUCAGAUUCACACAGAGAACCAGGAAGGGCUUCCUAGAGGUGGAGCCUGUGGGUAGAAGGCAAAGAGCACAGGUUGAGCAGGGGAGGCCAGUGCUGUGUCCCCUCCACUCUUUUGGCUCCCUAAUGGCCUUCAAGCGUGGUUACCCUCCUCUGGCUGGUGACUCCUCCGUUUUCUCUCUGGGCGGGGAGGGUGUUGGAUCUGGACCUCUUUCUUUCUCCGAUGUCUCCUCCUACCAGAGGCAGCUCAUCUGAGUUCUCAAGCCUUUGCCCUGGGCUUUGAAACUGACAACCAGCUCCCAGUGAGUGACCUGUGGAGCUGCAGACAUGUGGAGAUCCAAGUUGUCUCCCCACUUCCUGUAGUUCUCUAGCUAAGGCAAGCAGGUCUCUACCAUUGAUGGAUCUCACAGGUACCAGGCACGACUCUCGGUCCCUCGACCCACUGGAAAAGGUUGUGCAUGGGUUCAGGGU
rnacentral:sRNA from 1 species